rnacentral:tRNA from 1 species
AAGGGAGACCUAAUUCAGGUAGGAGACGAAAAAAAAGUAGUCGCUACCAAGAAUCAAUCCCAAAAGGUCGGAGCGAGGCGAAAUUGGCUUUCAAACUAGGUUCUGGGUUCACACAAGACCUGAAUCAGGAACAAGGGCUAUUAGCCCAGGUGGUUAGAGCGCACCCCUGAUAAGGGUGAGGUCCCUGGUUCGAGUCCAGGAUGGCCCACCUGUACAGGUGGCAAAAAGAAAGAAAAGAAGCGAGGAAUCAGCACCUUAUCUUACUGACAUAGCAAGAGAGAAUGCUGGCUCUGAGUAAAGAGUCCAGAGGAACCUUGAAAACUGCAUAGAGCUAGGUGAAAAAGCCAAAAAAGAAGACCGCAA